rnacentral:pre_miRNA from 1 species
UAUAAUUUUUGACUCUUUGUUUUAUUAAAAAAAAUUUAUAAAUGAUAUUUUUGUUUUUAUUAGAUGAUAAAUUAUGAAUAGUAUUUUACGUGUGAUUAAUUUUUUCUAAUUUCCUAAAAUUUUUUUAAAUAAGACGGAUGAUCAAACGUUGAACACAGAAAUCGAAG